GGGGAUAGCUCAGUGGUAGAGUGCCUGCCUAGCAUGCACAGUCUUGGGUUCAAUCCCCAGUACCUCCA
rnacentral:tRNA from 1 species